rnacentral:rRNA from 1 species
AGUGAACGCUGGCGGUAGGCCUAACACAUGCAAGUCGAACGGCAGCACAGUAAGAGCUUGCUCUUACGGGUGGCGAGUGGCGGACGGGUGAGGAAUACAUCGGAAUCUACUUUUUCGUGGGGGAUAACGUAGGGAAACUUACGCUAAUACCGCAUACGACCUACGGGUGAAAGCAGGGGAUUUUCGGACCUUGCGCGAUUGAAUGAGCCGAUGUCGGAUUAGCUAGUUGGCGGGGUAAAGGCCCACCAAGGCGACGAUCCGUAGCUGGUCUGAGAGGAUGAUCAGCCGCACUGGAACUGAGACACGGUCCAGACUCCUACGGGAGGCAGCAGUGGGGAAUAUUGGACAAUGGGCGCAAGCCUGAUCCAGCCAUACCGCGUGGGUGAAGAAGGCCUUCGGGUUGUAAAGCCCUUUUGUUGGGAAAGAAAAGCAGCAGGUUAAUACCCCGCUGUUCUGACGGUACCCAAAGAAUAAGCACCGGCUAACUUCGUG